GGGGAUGUAGUUCAGUGGUAGAGCGUCUUCUUUGCAUGCGGAAGGUCCGGGGUUCGAUCCUCCGCAUCUCCA